rnacentral:rRNA from 1 species
GGGGGUGACUGCGGAGGGAUCAUUACCGAGUUUACAACUCCCAAACCCCUGUGAACAUACCAUUUGUUGCCUCGGCGGUGCCUGCUUCGGCAGCCCGCCAGAGGACCCAAACCCUUGAUUUUAUACAGUAUCUUCUGAGUAAAUGAUUAAAUAAAUCAAAACUUUCAACAACGGAUCUCUUGGUUCUGGCAUCGAUGAAGAACGCAGCGAAAUGCGAUAAGUAAUGUGAAUUGCAGAAUUCAGUGAAUCAUCGAAUCUUUGAACGCACAUUGCGCCCGCCAGUAUUCUGGCGGGCAUGCCUGUUCGAGCGUCAUUUCAACCCUCAAGCCCCCGGGCUUGGUGUUGGAGAUCGGCGUGCCCUCCGGGGCGCGCCGGCUCCCAAAUAUAGUGGCGGUCUCGCUGUAGCUUCCUCUGCGUAGUAGCACACCUCGCACUGGAAAACAGCGUGGCCACGCCGUUAAACCCCCCACUUCUGAAAGGUUGACCUCGGAUCAGGUAGGAAUACCCGCUGAACUUAAGCAUAUCAUA